rnacentral:rRNA from 1 species
GACGAACGCUGGCGGCGUGCUUAACACAUGCAAGUCGAACGGAAAGGCCCGGCUUUUGUGGGGUGCUCGAGUGGCGAACGGGUGAGUAACACGUGAGUAACCUGCCCUUGACUUUGGGAUAACUUCAGGAAACUGGGGCUAAUACCGGAUAGGAGCUCCUGCUGCAUGGUGGGGGUUGGAAAGUUUCGGCGGUUGGGGAUGGACUCGAGGCUUAUCAGCUUGUUGGUGGGGUAGUGGCUUACCACGGCUUUGACGGGUAGCCGGCCUGAGAGGGUGACCGGCCACAUUGGGACUGAGAUACGGCCCAGACUCCUACGGGCGGCAGCAGUGGGGAAUAUUGCACAAUGGGCGGAAGCCUGAUGCAGCAACGCCGCGUGCGGGAUGCCGGCCUUCGGGUUGUAAACCGCUUUCGCCUGUGCCGAAGCGUGAGUGACGGUAAUGGGUCAAGAAGCACCGGCUAACUACGUG